GUUGUGUUUGUUUAUCUGAAUCGCAGCCUGGAUUUGGAAUCAGAGCACACAGAUAAUGGAUAGUGAGUGGAUGAGUUUGUCUCUUUAGCUUCUCUAAGUCGAGCGUGAAUCACAGCUGGAUUUAUUUCUUUCAUCAGCAUAGCCCUGCAGCCUCUGUGGUAUCAAACCCAGGGCUCUGAAAUAAUCAGACCCCCACCCCUCCCCCCAAAACCAACAAACCAGACGGAGGUGAGGAAGUGACUUCAGACCAUCUCAACAGUCAAUUUGGAGCAGGUGUCAAAGACCUCUGUAGGACUACUUCAGAUGACGAUGGAAGGCUCAAAAACGCUUUGGCUGUUUCUCCUGCUCAACUACCUGCCCCUCUGUCCUGCUGAUGUAGACACGAACCUUUCAGCAACCCAAUUAAAUUCAUCGCUUGCAGUGGAGACUAACCUCACAACCACUGAAGACAACAACUCCAUCAAUGGCACUAAUGGCAACUGCUUGAUUGACACUGAGAUGGGACUGAUUGCUAUAGGUUCAGCAGGAGGUCUGAUUGUAUGCUUGAUGGUUGCCACUGUUGUACUGGCAUGCCAGGUCUGCAGCCUUCAGCGCCAGGUUUAUGUCCCUCGAACCUCACGGUCCAACAUGGACUUAGUAAGCAGUACAGGCUACUGGGGCACAGACCAACCAGAGAUGGCAGGUCUGGUUGGACCAUGUGAUGCCAGUGUCAUGCUUGAGGAGGUGAGAGCAGACAGCAAGAUGGAGGAAGAGAGGCAGGCUGAAAUGCAAGAGGCAAUGGAAGAGGCUGAGGCAGGACUUAAGGAAGGGGCAACAGCAAUGGCUUAUGAUCCUGAGGAGAAGCAAAGUCUGAUGCAGAGCUCCAACUCUAGGGACUCCUGUUUGGAGGUUCCCAGGGAUUUAGAAGACAUGCCCCUUGUUGUGUAAGGAAAUAAUCUCACCUCAGUAAAUCUAUCCCCAGAAACAACUAGUCAGUUUAGCUGAUCUGUUAAACUUUAACAUGGCAUGUUUCGUUCAUAUCCUUUUCAGUAGGGAUGCACCAAUUGUUAAAUUGGGCAAAUAUAUAAUAAGGUAACAAUUAGGCUAAUUGUUUUGUUUUUUAACCCCCUCGUUUUUUAUUUGUUUUUGGGGAAAGAAACAAUAACCUUCUGAAAGUCUUUCAGCCCUUCAUCAUACUAUCUUUAAAUGAGCACAAAUUCAAUCAAACAAAUUUAUGAAAUGGCCACAGGGGCUGAAAAAAUAUACAGGCUACAACAGAGUGGUGACUGCUUUCUUAUUCAACAAGUAAAGAAUGAAUAUCUGGUUUAUAAACGGGCAAGCUGACGAUGUGGUUGGUGCAUCCCUAAUUUCAUCUAUCAGUAUUUGACUCAACAUAAGUACGGCUGCCUGGGCAUCAUUUGAAAUUUAUAAAUAUUAGCAUAAAGAGCUUUGAUACACAGAGCAAAAAGCAUAGAUUUUCAGCAACUUGCUUAGAUAAAUAUGUAAUGUUUUACAAUGUAGUAAAUCUUUAAAACCCCAUAAAAUUAUGUAUUUAAACUAUCUGAUCAAACGAUAAGUAAAAAACUUCCCAAGUUGUUUUCAAUACAACGGAGAUUUUGCUCAAUUAUUACUGGAAAAGAGAAACUAGUAUUUUAAAGGAGAGAUGUAUUUUUCAUGAAAUAUUUUGUGCAAUGUAAGAUGUUAAGCAUAAUUUUUAAGCAUAUCACACGAUACAUAUUACAUGCUACAUAUUUGUUACAUGCAUCACAGUUCUUACAACAUAACAGUAACUUACAUAAUGAACUAAAGAGAAGAACAACAACGAGAGGAUCAACAUACAUUAACACUGUCAAAGAUCCUGGACUGGAUAGUAGAAAUGCUGGGAACUAUUAAUUAAUCUCUGCUGAACUCUGCUUCUGUUUUAGUAUAAUCGAAAUGUACUUUCAACAAUUUAAUUACUGGUUUCUUAUGACUCAAAAACUG